rnacentral:rRNA from 1 species
ACUUGGAUAUGGAUUCUUCACGGUAACGUAACUGAAUGUGAAGACGUCGGUAUAAGCCCUGGGAGGAGUUAUCUNUUCUUCUUAACAGCUUAACACCCUGGAAUUGGUUUAUCCGGAGAUAGGGUNUUAUGGCUGGAAGAGCGCAGUACCNNUGCUGCGUCCGGUGCGCUUAUNACGGCCCUUGAAAAUUCANAGGAAGGAAUAGUUUUCAUGCCAAGUNGUACU